rnacentral:rRNA from 1 species
GAUGAACGCUGGCGGCGUGCUUAACACAUGCAAGUCGAACGAAGCAUUUAAGACAGAUUUUUUCGGAAUGAAGUUUUUUAUGACUGAGUGGCGGACGGGUGAGUAACGCGUGGGUAACCUGCCUCACACAGGGGGAUAGCAGUUGGAAUCGACUGGUAAUACCGCAUAAGCGCACAGCUUCGCAUGAAGCGGUGUGAAAAACUCCGGUGGUGUGAGAUGGACCCGCGUCUGAUUAGGUAGUUGGUGAGGUAACGGCCCACCAAGCCGACGAUCAGUAGCCGACCUGAGAGGGUGACCGGCCACAUUGGGACUGAGACACGGCCCAGACUCCUACGGGAGGCAGCAGUGGGGAAUAUUGCACAAUGGAGGAAACUCUGAUGCAGCGACGCCGCGUGAGUGAAGAAGUAUUUCGGUAUGUAAAGCUCUAUCAGCAGGGAAGACAGUGACGGUACCUGACUAAGAAGCUCCGGCUAAAUACGUGCCAGCCGCCGCGGUAACAC